rnacentral:tRNA from 1 species
GCUCGUGUGGCGGAAUUGGUAGACGCACAGGACUUAAAAUCCUGGGUCCGCAAGGGCGUCCCGGUUCGAUUCCGGGCACGAGCACCA